rnacentral:rRNA from 1 species
UACGGAGGGUGCGAGCGUUGCUCGGAAUUAUUGGGCGUAAAGCGUACGCAGGCGGCCAUCUCAGUCGGGUGUGAAAGCCCGGGGCUCAACCCCGGAAAUGCGCUCGAGACUGGAUGGCUUGAGUGCGGGAGAGGGAAGCGGAAUCCGUAGUGUAGAGGUGAAAUUCGUAGAUAUUACGGGGAACACCGGUGGCGAAAGCGGCUUCCUGGCCCGACACUGACGCUCAUGUACGAAAGCGUGGGGAGCAAACAGG